rnacentral:rRNA from 1 species
AGGAUGAACGCUGACGGUCUGCUUAACACAUGCAAGUCGAACGGAGUAGCAAUACUUAGUGGCGGACGGGUGAGUAACGCGUGAGAAUCUACCUUCAGGACGGAGACAACAGUUGGAAACGACUGCUAACCCCCGAUGUACUGAAAAGGCAAAUAUUUAUAGCCUGAAGAAGAGCUCGCGUCCGAUUAGCUAGUUGGAGAGGUAAAAGCUCACCAAGGCGACGAUCGGUAGCUGGUCUGAGAGGACGAUCAGCCACACUGGGACUGAGACACGGCCCAGACUCCUACGGGAGGCAGCAGUGGGGAAUUUUCCGCAAUGGGCGAAAGCCUGACGGAGCAAGACCGCGUGGGGGAAGAAGGCUCUUGGGUUGUAAACCCCUUUUCUCUGGGAAGAACGCAAUGACGGUACCAGAGGAAUCAGCAUCGGCUAACUCCGUGCCAGCAGCCGC